CACGUGGCAUGCCACGUAAAGCGGGAAGAGAGGGCGGUAGGAGGGAGCGGUAACCGUAGGAUUGUCCGUUUUCUUUCUUAUUUUUCAAUCAAGAAUUUCGUAUGCUACUUCUUGGUCUUCAUAUGAAGAGCUUGAGCUCUUCUAUCGCCUAGGAGCUGACCUCCCAAGUCUCCAAGACCACCACAAUCAACCCUGCAAUACAUAGAUGAAGACGUUAUGCAAUGCCCUCUCUCUCUUCCCCAACUCUUAGGCUCCCCCGAGUAACAUUUCACACCCGACCCAACAAGAAACAUCCGGUCUCCAAUACUCCCUGCGUUGUCCAAUCCCUCCUCAAGCUCGCCUCGGGAGGUCAUCUCUCCCAAGCAAUCUCUUCCCUAGAGCUCUUGGUCCGCAAAGGCCUCCGCUUGCCCUCCGAAACCCUCUCCUAUCUCUUACAACGGUGCGCGGACUCCAAGUCUCUUAGACAUGCCAAAUGGGUUCACCUCCAUUUGAAGCUCACCGGACUCAAGAACCCUACAACGUUUUUGUCGAACCAGUUGAUAUCUGUGUAUUUCAGGUGCGGUGAUGAAGUGGAGGCACGCAAGGUAUUUGAUAAAAUGUCUGCGAGGAACUUGUACACGUGGAAUAAUAUGCUUUCUGGGUAUGCUAAAAUGGGGAUGAUUAAGCCAGCUAAGAAGUUGUUUGAUAAAAUGCCGGAGAAGGAUAUUGUGUCAUGGAACACUAUGGUGAUAGCUUUUGCACGGAGUGGGUGCUGUGAUGAGGCUGUGAGGUUUUAUAGGGAGCUGCGGAGACAGUCAAUUGGGUAUAACGAGUUCAGUUUUUCCGGUGUUUUGACAGUUUGCGUGAAGUUGAAGGAAUUGGAGCUUACUAGGCAGGUUCAUGGGCAGGUUUUGAUUGCUGGUUUUACGUCAAAUGUGGUGAUUUCAAGUUCAGUUCUUGAUGCUUAUGCAAAGUGCGGGGAGAUGGGAGACUCAAGGAGAGUAUUUGAUGACAUGAGUGUAAGGGACGUCCCUGCUUGGACCACCCUCGUUUCGGGAUAUGCUAAAUGGGGGGACAUGCAAUCAGCUAGUGAAAUGUUUGAUCGAAUGCCUGAGAAAAACCCUGUAUCAUGGACAGCUCUGAUUUCCGGUUAUGCAAGAAAUGGCCUAGGGUAUGAAGCGCUUGAGCUGUUUACAAAAAUGAUGAUGCUUCAAGUUAAACCUGAUCAAUUUACAUUCAGUAGUUGCCUUUGUGCUUGUGCCAGUAUAGCUUCACUUAAGCAUGGCAAACAGAUGCACGCCUGUUUGAUACGAACUAAUUUUAGACCUAACACUAUUGUUGUGAGCUCUCUCAUUGACAUGUAUUCAAAAUGUGGGAGUUUGGAAAUUGGCAAGUGGGUUUUCAAUCUAAUGGGUGAUAAGCGAGAUGUUGUAUUGUGGAACACAAUGAUUUCUGCCUUAGCUCAGCAUGGUCAUGGUGAAGAGGCAAUGAAAAUGUUUGAUGAUUUGAUAAGAUCAGGAGUGAAGCCGGAUAGGACCACCUUUGUUGUCACCCUCAAUGCUUGUAGUCAUUCAGGUCUUGUGCAAGAGGGGCUUAAGUUGUUCAAUUCAAUGACUUGUGAUCAUGGCAUCAUUCCUGAUCAAGAACAUUAUGCAUGCUUAAUUGAUAUCUUGGGUCGGGCUGGACGUUUUAACGAGCUGAUGGAACGACUCGAGAAGAUGCCUUGUAAGCCUGGUGAUCGAGUUUUGAAUGCUGUACUUGGUGUUUGUCGAAUUCAUGGAAAUAUCGAGUUGGGAAGAAAAGCGGCUGAACACCUUAUCGAGUUGGAGCCUCAAUCCUCUGCUGCCUAUGUUUUACUUUCAAGUAUAUAUGCCGUGCUUGGAAGAUGGGAGCUGGUAGAGAAGUUGAGAAAACUUAUGGAUGAGAGACAUGUUAGGAAAGAACGGGCAGUCAGUUGGAUAGAGAUUGGAAAUGAAGUGCAUGCUUUCACUGUAUCGGAUAGAUUGCACCCUCUGAAAGAAGUAAUAUAUUCAGUUUUAGAACAUUUAGCUGGACAGAUGGAAGAAGAUCCAUCAUUACUUAAUACCGAAAGUUAAAACUUCAUCAAUUUUUAUCUCUGCUGGGUGGGUUUUUACUUUCUUGAGGCCUGGGAGACACGGAAAUUAUAUUUCCGAGGGAACACAACGUUCUCUAGCAAAGAGUGUCGGAGAGAACAGAUAGAGUUUGACGAUGCCAAGGAGAAGAAGAGCUGGAAAAUGUCCCCUCCUACUUCUUCUUCUUCCUCCUCUUCCUCUGCACCAGACAAGUCUGUACGGACGGGUGCUGUUGUGGUGGCCUAGUGAUCUCUACCUAGGAAGAGGUUCCACGCGAAAGUUGGUUCUUUAGGACUCGAGUCUCUAAUCUUGUAAAGCUAGCCAUGAAGAAGCCGAUCGAGGGCAUGCAUGCGUCUUUAACAGCCUGAGAUUUUGCAUACAUAUUCAAUGCAUAAAAUGAAGCCCGGCGUAAACGCCUGGUUUGUGCAAUUUUGGGUGUAAUCGAUCUCUGUUUAGAACUUUUUUAUUUUUUCGAAAUUUUUUAGGCGAUGAUGUAUCAAAGAGACUUUUGCAUGAAUAAUCUUUACUCUGUAGUUUUGGGUUUCUUAAUUCCUUCAAGAAUCAAAAGCCAUAUGUGUAGUAGCAGAACUCGUACCUUCAUCCAGCUUCAAAACUCAAAAAGGGAAAAAGCUAUACUCACAAAACAACAGAAAUGCAUAGAACUGUCUCACA